GAAUAUUAUAAUUGAGCUUACAACAGCUGGAGUAAAUGUAUAUAAACCAAGUAAAUUUAGACAACACUACAUCUCAAAGUUGUGUGCUUACCAUCACAUUGCCGCUGACAUCAAAUCCUUUAGGCUGAUCAUUAUGAAGCUUCUGACCCUACUCAUUUUGAGCGUUUGGCUAUUCUGUGCCAUCACCUACGCCACAGUGGAAGAGGAGAUUAAUGAUCAAGUUCGUCGCAACUUACCAUCGAAAGAUGUAAUGGAUCAAGCAAUAAAAAGAAUUCUAGAAUUGAUGAAGGGUUCACAGGGAUAGGGCAGUUUUCUU